rnacentral:rRNA from 1 species
UACGAGGGGAGCAAGCGUUGUUCGGAUUUACUGGGCGUAAAGGGCGCGUAGGCGGUCGCGACAAGUCACUUGUGAAAUCUCCGGGCUUAACUCGGAACGGUCAAGUGAUACUGUCGGACUAGAGUACAGAAGGGGCAACUGGAAUUCUCGGUGUAGCGGUGAAAUGCGUAGAUAUCGAGAGGAACACCUGCGGCGAAGGCGGGUUGCUGGGCUGAUACUGACGCUGAUGCGCGAAAGCCAGGGGAGCGAACGGG